rnacentral:rRNA from 1 species
UACGAAGGGGGCGAGCGUUGUUCGGAAUUACUAGGGCGUAAAGGGCGCGCAGGCGGCUCUUCAAGUCAAGGCCGUGAAAGGCCCGGGCUUAACCUGGGAAUUGCGCUUGGGACUGGAGGGCUUGAGUACGGGAGAGGAGAGUGGAAUUCCCAGUGUAGAGGUGAAAUUCGUAGAUAUUCGGAAGAACACCAGUGGCGAAGGCGGCUCACUGGACGACUGUUGACGCUGAGGUACGGAAAGCGUGGGGAGCAAACACGG